GAAAGCCAGGCUGCCAGCAGUCACGGAGUUCUCUCUACGCCUUUAGGAAUAAAGGCUAUUUUUACUUUAUGUUCUCUUUUAUCACGCAGAAAACUCUUUCAUAAUGGUGCCCGUGUGCCUCGGAUGGCAGAGUGAGUGGCUCCUGGGAAUCCCUCCCAGUUUGAGCCCCCCUAAGAACCACCUUUUUCUUCCUCUGGGACUGUUUACUUGCUGCCGCUAACAGCUACCUUUCUCACUCCUAACAGGUUGCCAGCUGGUCAAAAUGAUGCUAAAAUUGGUUAAACAAAAUCCCUUGGAGUGAGGAGACAUUGGACAGGACUUCAAUUGAUAAAUAACAGUGACACUUGGAGCUCUGAGACAGGUAAAUCGACACAAGAUGGAGAGCUGCCUGAGCCCCUCCUGGACCAUGCUUCAAGUACAAGAACGAACAUUGGGAAAGACAGUGUCUCAAACCCAGCAUUCUUCUGGGCCUUGCCCCUAUUGCAAUCUCAAGGGCCACUGGAAGAGCGACUGUCCUAGCCACCAGAGAGUGGUCUAAGAUGUGGGCAUUCACCAAUCAUGAAGUUGCCCUGGCUAAAACACCUGGCACCAGCUUCUACAUGGGCAUCAACCAUUGUCCCAUCAACCUUUCUAAACCACAAUACAGGAAGAGUGUCCCAACCCCAGUGUUCUUCUGGGCCUUGCCCCUAUUGCAAUCUCAAGGGCCAUUGGAAGAGCGACUGUCUUAGCUGCCAGAGAGCGGGUAAGCCAUCCUCUAACUCCCUGCCCUCAUAGGAGAUCUCAUCACCACAGGAUUCAUUGCUGAUUGAUCUACUCAGACUUGCUGCUGAAGACUGCUUAUACCAAUCUUGCUUCAACAGGAAGUAAUAAGCAAGAGACUUCACCCUUUUCCUAACAAUACCAAGAUGGGAAUGAAAGGUUCUUGCCUUAGUAGAAAUUAUGGCAGUGAUCUAAUGUGGCAGUAGGAAUGCCUACCACUUCCUGCUUCUUCUUCAGCCUUAAUUGCACUCCCCUUCCUGUUGGUGCAUGAAGAAAACUCCAAUCAGCUCCUCGUGCCUCAUCAAUGCCCACCCUAAGCACCACCCCUGGUCAGAGGUUGUAUGUAUAUUCCAUGCCCCAUCUUACAGCCUGAGAAAGCCAGGCCACCAGCAGUCAUGGAGUUCUCUCCACAUCCUUGGAAUAAAGGCUAUCUUUACUUUAUAUUCUCUCUUUUAUCAUGCUGAAAGCUCUUUCACUGAGCAGUCCACAUUUUGACUUCCCACAGUGGACACUGCUUACACCAAGUGCCUUGCAUUUAGGAGGUGUGCAGUCAACCUCUGCUCAAUGAAAAGUUACAAAAGGCACUAUCUCAACAACUUGACCUCUUAUACAUCCUGCCUUUCAAUGUAGAAAUAUUAAUUCUGGGAAGGAGAUCCACACUGUAGCUGAACUUGUUUAACACCUUUGGGUCCAUCUGAAAAACACUUUCAAUUCAUGUAAUCCCAUUACCCAUAUUUUAGACUAGAUUCCAGGGAAAACGUAAUAGUCCAGGACAAACUUCAUCUCUUUAAAAGAGAUACCACAGAAACAAGUUUUAUUUCUUGGGACAUAUCUUUUCUUUUUCUUUUUUUUUUUGAAGACAAGGUUUCACUGUGUGGUCCAGGCUGGUCUUAACUCACUAUGUAGUCCAGGCUGGCCUCGAACUGAUGGCAGUCUUCCUGUCUCAUCCUCCCUGGAUUAUAGCACAUGCACUGUGUUCAGCUGGGAUGUGUCUUUGUCUCCACCCUUGCACAUAUACAAAUUACCAUUUGGAAGAAUGAGAAAGGAGAGAAUUAUCAAGUCUCCAUUUAAUUUUCCAUCCACCAAAUGGGAAAGUUUCAUCAUUUUGUUCUAAGCUCAAUACUUACUAAAUGGCAAUAAAGUUCCCAAAAGUGUUUCACUUUUACAAACAGAAAAUAUCUCAGAUCCGGAAGCAUCUACCAUAAGAUAAAAAGCAUUAAUCAUAUAAAUAGAAUAUUUUCUCUAUAUUCAAUAAUAAGUGUAUAAGAGAAAAUGGA